UACGUAGGGUGCAAGCGUUGUCCGGAAUUAUUGGGCGUAAAGGGCUCGUAGGCGGUCCAUCACGUCGGGAGUGAAAAGCUGGGGCUUAACCCCAGUCCUGCUUCCGAUACGGGUGGACUAGAGGUAGGCAGGGGAGAACGGAAUUCCUGGUGUAGCGGUGAAAUGCGUAGAUAUCAGGAGGAACACCGGUGGUGUAGACGGCUCACUGGACCGUAACUGACGCUGAAACACGAAAGCGUGGGGAGCAAACAGG
rnacentral:rRNA from 1 species